rnacentral:lncRNA from 1 species
GCCAUGGCAGCGAGGGGGCGGGAGCGCGCGGUCGGCGGAGGCUUAGAGCAAAGCCGCGGGCGGGGGGCUGGAGAGACAGGUCUGUGCGUUGCAUGCGUUCUGCAGGCGGAGGCCCGCGCGCCGAGACCCGGCUAGAAUCUGCUAAGAGUCAGUUUUUAGUGAAACAGCAUUGAGCUACGAGCCAAGACCCACUUCUUCACUAAUUUGAUCUUGUGCAAGUCAUCUUACCUCUCUGGAUCUCAGUUGUCUCAUCUGUAAAAAGGAGAUAAAAAUUCUUUACCUUUCUGAAGUUUUGCCUGAGGCUCCGAUGCCCUUGGGAUCAGUGCUUUCCUGCUGUCUUGAGAUCACUGCCU